UCUCUUCUAAGUGUGUGCUUGUGCUUUCUUUCUAACAGAUUGGGUAUAUUUGAACUUAUUCCAUCUUGAAUCGGUAUAAAUAAUUGGAAGAAAAUGUGACAUUAAAAACAAAAGAACUUAUAAAAACAAUAGCCAAAUCAUAUCUUUUUUCUUUAUGUUUUUUCCCCGCUUUUUUUCUGAAAAUUUAACGGCAACAAGAAAAGAAGGGUAAAAAAAGUCAAGAGGACAGGGGAGGAAAGAGCGGACAAGAUAUGGGAACCCACUUGAAUGCCGAGCGCAGCUGCAGAAUGGUAUUUCAUUGGGAUCUGUCAGCUCGACUCUGAUUGGCCUGACACUGCUAAUCCCUCCAGAUGUUCAGCAUUAACUGAUGAGUGCGUGACUGUUCUGUGUGGAAGAAAACGCAGAGAGGGAGAGGGCCAGAGGACCCCGUUGCUGGUGGGACCAGGAGCUGGUAGAAGGGACUGCAUGUUUCCGCUGAAAGGAAUGUGAUAUGGUGCCCUUUUCCCCUCUUGGCCUGGAGGGCCUCUUCUGGUUUAUUGCUCACACCUGCGGCUCGUUUGGUCAUUACCUGAGGAGUAUAUGAGCAGCAGACUGUCACCACCUCAACGCCAGAGUGUUUGCCAUUAUUGGAAUUAUUUCCUGAUCUACUGGAUAAGCCUGGUCCUUCAAGCCUUCGAAGGAAUUAUUUGUCUCUCUGAGAAUAAGGAAAUCAUUGACCGCUUCAGUUUGCAGUCCGAUUCAGGAAAGCUCGUUGACAGUCUGCUCUGGUGCUCCUCUGGACCACUACAGAGGAGCUCUGUCCACUCUGUCUGCCCUCCAGCCAAGUAUCUCCUUAUCUGUACAGUCCCCACAAACAGGAACCAAGGAGCAACCACAAGUCAUCUACAACGAGGUGAAUGGAAGCAGCUGCUGCCGGCCCCUCUGGGAUCCAUGCUGAAAUGAAACUAUCAAAUGCCCCCGGACCGAGGACAGAUUGCUUAAUGUGUGAAAGCUGCACCGUGUUCACAGACAUGUUUUGUCUGCACAGGCAAACUUGUGAAACAAGAACUUUGUUUUUCUUCUUCUCUCUGCAUUUUGGUGAGAGGUUAUGGAUAAAAUGAUAACUGGAAGCGGUCCUUUUUUAGAUCUGGUAGGAAAUCCAGUGGUUAAAACAACUCAACAUGUGCUUGGCAGUAAUGAAUGGGUAAAAGCUGUUGGCAGAGCGUGAAGUCGGGGAGUAAAAAGGGGUGAAGAAGUAGGUAUGGCGUGAGCUGGGGUUGGGGGUAGGGAGGCAAAGAUAGUCCAAAACAAGUUGGCUGGCAUCUGGGACCUGGUUGAAAAUCGUGUUGCAAUUACUCUAUUAGCAUGCUCAGCUGCACCACUGUUUCUCUUCUUUUGUUUUCUUUUUUUGAGAAACCUAUGACAACCAACAAGGCACAUAAGUCCAUCAGAAAAGAAGCCUGUCAGAGGCCUAUUGUCUGCUUCCAUGCCCUCACCCUGCUAUUGACUCUCAGCUGUUAAAGAGAGCCAAGGAACAGCCAAAGGCAUCAUGGGAGCAGCAACAGCACUUUUGGUGCCGGUUGUGACUGACAAAAAUCUGGCAAGUAAAGCAGCUCGCCAAUGAAGCAUGAAAUGUGAAUAUCAGCUGUCUUCUUUUCAGGAAGGAAAAAUGUUUAGUUUAAAAAAAAAUACAUUAGUAAAUAACAAAAUCGACCUCUGGAAAAAAUGGAAGAGCCUUGUCCUAGUUUCUUUAGGGUAAGCAGAUUCAGUUCCAGAUCUCAGAUCUUUAAAACUGUUUUUAAAAACUGUAAAUACUCUACAUGUCU